rnacentral:rRNA from 1 species
GAUGAACGCUGGCGGCGUGCCUAAUACAUGCAAGUCGAGCGAACGGACGAGAAGCUUGCUUCUCUGAUGUUAGCGGCGGACGGGUGAGUAACACGUGGAUAACCUACCUAUAAGACUGGGAUAACUUCGGGAAACCGGAGCUAAUACCGGAUGAUAUUUUGAACCGCAUGGUUCAAAAGUGAAAGACGGUCUUGCUGUCACUUAUAGCUGGAUCCGCGCUGCAUUAGCUAGUUGGUAAGGUAACGGCUUACCAAGGCAACGAUGCAUAGCCGACCUGAGAGGGUGAUCGGCCACACUGGAACUGAGACACGGUCCAGACUCCUACGGGAGGCAGCAGUAGGGAAUCUUCCGCAAUGGGCGAAAACCUGACGGAGCAACGCCGCGUGAGUGAUGAAGGUCUUCGGAUCGUAAAACUCUGUUAUUAGGGAAGAACAUAUGUGUAAGUAACUGUGCACAUCUUGACGGUACCUAAUCAGAAAGCCACGGCUAACUACGUG